rnacentral:rRNA from 1 species
AUUGAACGCUGGCGGAAUGCUUUACACAUGCAAGUCGAACGGCAGCACGGGGCAACCUGGUGGCGAGUGGCGAACGGGUGAGUAAUACAUCGGAACGUGCCCAAUCGUGGGGGAUAACGUAGCGAAAGUUACGCUAAUACCGCAUACGAUCUACGGAUGAAAGCGGGGGAUCGCAAGACCUCGCGCGAAUGGAGCGGCCGAUGUCAGAUUAGGUAGUUGGUGGGGUAAAGGCUCACCAAGCCAACGAUCUGUAGCUGGUCUGAGAGGACGACCAGCCACAUUGGAACUGAGACACGGUCCAGACUCCUACGGGAGGCAGCAGUGGGGAAUUUUGGACAAUGGGCGCAAGCCUGAUCCAGCCAUUCUGCGUGCAGGAUGAAGGCCUCGGUUGUAAACUGCUUUGUUACGGAACGAAACGGUACUGCCCUAAUACGGCGGGCUAAUGACGGUACCGUAAGAAUAAGACACCGGCUAACUACGUGCCAGCAGCCGCGGUAAACU